GGCAUCACAUGAAGUAGCAAUACGGAUGGUGGCGACCGGCGCACGGGUGAGUAACACGUAUGCAACCUGCCUUCAACAAGGGGAUAACCCGUUGAAAGACGGACUAAUACCCUAUAACACAGGGGCCCCGCAUGGGGAUAUUUGUUAAAGAUUAAUCGGUUGAAGAUGGGCAUGCGUUCCAUUAGCUAGUUGGUGGGGUAAUGGCCCACCAAGGCAACGAUGGAUAGGGGAACUGAGAGGUUUAUCCCCCACACUGGUACUGAGACACGGACCAGACUCCUACGGGAGGCAGCAGUGAGGAAUAUUGGUCAAUGGACGCAAGUCUGAACCAGCCACGUCGCGUGAAGGAAGACGGCCCUACGGGUUGUAAACUUCUUUUGCAAGGGAAUAAAGUGAGUCACGUGUGACUUUUUGCAAGUACCUUGCGAAUAAGGAUCGGCUAACUCCGUGCCAGCAGCCGCGGUAAUACGGAGGAUCCGAGCGUUAUCCGGAUUUAUUGGGUUUAAAGGGUGCUCAGGCGGGCGAUUAAGUCGGCGGUGAAAUUUUGCGGCUCAACCGUAAAAAUGCCUUCGAAACUGGUUGCCU
rnacentral:rRNA from 1 species